GCGCCCUCAUACGCUCCCAGCCUCUCCCUCGCUCACACGCAGGGACACACACACACACAGAUAGACAGACACACACACACACACACCCUCUCCUGUCAGCGUCAUUCCCUUCCCUCACCUGCACUCCUUACCGUUACUCGCUUUCUUGCCUCACAAAGCGACCCUCCCUGCCUCCCUCGCCUCGCUUGUUUUGGUGUGGUUUCAUAUGAUUUUAUUUCAACGAUUCGGCUUUUUUGUCUCGAUAUUUUUUAACCAGAUUUCUGCGGUGCAUGAAUCUCGCUUUGAUCUCCCGCUUCGCCUCUCUUGCCCCCUUCAUCCGCAGCUGUGUUUACGUGUUUAUUUUAUUCCUUUCCCUCUCUCUUUCUCUUUCUCUCCUCGUGUUAUUUGUCUCUGUCUGCGUGGCUGUCUGCUCUCCGUCUAGUUACCGUCAGCUACUGCGUGUGCACGGGUGAUUAAAACGUCGGGCCGUCAUCUGAGGUCUUAUUAGCUAUCCAAGACGUGACGCUGCCCUUGUGUUACCUGUCCAUCUUACUCGUGUCCGUUGUGUGGGGUUCCUGUUACGCUACUGCCAAUGUGACAUGUUAAUAGUGUGACUGGAGUGUAGCAAUGGGCUGCGUGAAGGGACGUGAUCUGUUUAGUGACUCCCUAUUGGUGUUUGAGUCCACGUGCUUUUGAGUAACAGCAGUGUGACGUGUGCGAGAUCCUAACAUGACGCAACCUAAGAUUACAAAGGCGAGAAUGAAGGUGACUUGUUCUUCAGUGCUAGUAGUGAAGGUUUGGUGUGUGUGCCUAGAUCAGUGUCACUCUUAAUAAUGGGGGUAGUUUGUGUUUGUGUGACCUUAGCCUGACGUAAAGGAGCUAAGCAAGUAAUGGAGUGACGCGUGCAGUAUUCAAAGUGAAGAUGUAGCGCGCAGAGAGGAAUAGAGCAGCAUGACUUGUGUGGUUAGUUGGUUGAUGAGUGAGACGAUGCUUCCGAAGUGACUCGAAGCCUUGAAUUUCUCGUAUCACCAGAAAUGAGUCGUAAUAGUUAUUGGUGGAGUCACUGCCGCCUCUGACUUUUGGUAGUUGAACUCGUCCAGCGCCUAAAGUGACUCGGCUGGAAAUAAACUUUGAUGCAUAAUGGUGAAAUCUUUGAUGGUACACGUUGUUACUAUUAUUAUUAUCAUUCUCUUAUUAUCAUUAUUGUUAUGUCUAUAUUUAUUCAUUCGUUCAUUUCAUACAAUGGUGCAAUACCAAAAAAAAUUCCCUCGCUGUGUUAGUACAACCACAGAAAGGAGAUAGAAACUCCUCUUAACACCUUCAGUGCUGGAACUCUUUAUCAUGGAUUUUUGGUGUGAUUAGACGCUUUUAUUGACAUUAGGAAGGGUCAACGGAGAUCAGGAGUUUAUAGACUUCACUGACAAUUCCCACACAAGUUUCUGAAGCUGUAUAAAGUCACCAGAUAGUACGCAGAAUGAAUAUGAAAAAGUGUCAUGGUGCUAGUGAUCAGAGCCUUGACACCCCCUAGCACUGUGACACCCGAGACAUCACAAGCCCACGUGGCACACAGCACAGAGGUAACCAGUGCCCCGUGACCGUCUGCCUCUCGAUCACCUGUACUGGCAUGGCGUGACGUGACCCUCCCCAUUAGCAGAUCCAGGCCAGCCGCUCAUUAUCCGCUGACCUGGCCCCUUUAAUGAUGUGAUUAGGCUCCUUACCUGUCCUGCCUGCCACCGUCAUUACCUUCCCUGACGGAUGACCUAGCGAGAGCGGUGACCUGGGCCAUGUGUGUGUGUUGACCUUAAAGAUAAGGACUGAUACAGUGUGUUGAGUGUUUCGUUAAUGUGGGUGGUGCGUCUCCUGGUGUUGCUACUGAUGGUGAUGAUGAUUGUGGUGAUCUUACUUCUUUUCUAUUGGUGAUUUUUUAUUUUACUACUAUUACUGCUUCUACUACUACUACUGCUAUUGCUACAGCCCUAACAUCCCCCUCUCCCCCCGCUCUCCUUCCCCCUGAUAGGUAACAGUGAAAACAACAAAGUGAGUGGCGGCGACAGCAGUGACUUGCAGUGACAGUGGUGAUUGGUUUGUUAUUGUGGUGGUGGUGGUGGUGGUGGUGUGUGUGUGUGGUGGUGAGGUGAACAAGCCACGACCUCCCACAAAAGGAACGCUUGCAAAGGACGACUAUUUAUCAAGGUGAGCGGAGUGAGUUUAGCCAUGCAGUGUCCAGCGGCGGUGCAGGUGUUACGGAAAGACUGCUGAGGGCGGGUCGUAAUUACAGGCAGUCUACCCCACACAUUAUCCACCAUUACGGGGCAGGACUGCGGCUGACUCUCGUGUUCCAGAUUCCCGCCCGUGGUCACUGCCUGGGCCUCGAUACAUCCCUCCUAUAGUAAUGCCUCCUCUUACUCUGUCCAGUAUUCAGAAACGCUUUGCUCUCUCACCACGACUAUUUCCAAAGGCUCCAGUUGAAGAUACUCAUGUUUUCAAGGGUAUUUUAAUGGUUCUAGUGAUGGACUGGCAAGAUUUCUAGUUGAUCAUAAAGAGAAACUGUCUUGAAAACCCAGCUAGUCGUCUAUGGGUACUUGAAAAUUUGUCGUGGUGAGAAAGAAAGGCGCUUCUGAACAUAGCCGUCUGGUGGGAGUUAUUUGGGUUUUCAGUAAUGUUUUUAUGAUGCCGGUGAUCAGUUAACAAGAAAUCUAUAUCAAUAGGAAAAACACCCGCUUGAAAACACGGCCAAUCGUCUCUAAGCCCUUUGAAAUGAGUCCUGAUGGGAGAACAAAGAGUGCGGGGAACAAAGCAUGUGAAGACAAACACCCUCGCUCCCGCCAACGCUUCUACUUCUUCUUUCGCCUUCAUUAUUUACACACUCUAUUGGAUGUUGGCAAAGGAUGUUGUCAUGACCACUGAUGCUUCGACGAGGACUGUGUAGCAUCAACGGAAAGAAAAAAAUAAAAAGCUUUGAGAACCAGGCUAAUCAUCUUUGCGGCCUUUGAAAAUAAGCUUUAGAGGAGAACAAAGGUGUUUCAUAAGAGAGAAUUCGUUCCUUUGAUUCUUUUUGAGGCUGCGCAGUGUCCAGAGAGAGAGAGAGAGAGAGAGAGAGAGAGAGAGAGAGAGAGAGAGAGAGAGAGAGAGAGAGAGAGAGAGAGAGAGAUCCUUAACCCUUUCACUUUGACACGACACAAUUACACAAACAUGGUAUAAAUAAAAAAAAAAAAAAACAUAUAUAAGGUAAGAAAUCUUUAUAAGCAUCAACAAGUUACGAAUGAAAAGGAUAAAAAAUGGGAAUUUCUACCCAGCUUAAAGAUUGGAUGUGGUUGUAGAGGAAGCGAAAUAUGUCUCGGAGUGAUUGGUAAUUAGGGAAAGGUGAACCCAGUGACGCUCAAAGGGUUAGCACACAUCCAAUUUGUACUUUACCUAUACAUAUACAUGAUUAACCCCUUCAGUACCGUGACGCGUUUUUAUAUUCAUUUUGCUUAUUAUUUAGUGUUUUUAUACAGCUACAGAAACUUAUGGUGGGGGAUUAAACUAGUGAAGACUCUGGCCAUUAACCCC